rnacentral:rRNA from 1 species
GACGAACGCUGGCGGCGUGCUUAACACAUGCAAGUCGAGCGGUAAGGCCCUUUCGGGGGUACACGAGCGGCGAACGGGUGAGUAACACGUGGGCGACCUGCCCUCAGCUCUGGGAUAAGCCUGGGAAACCGGGUCUAAUACCGGAUAUGACUCCAUGACGCAUGUUGUGGGGUGGAAAGCCUUGUGCGGCUGAGGAUGGGCCCGCGGCCUAUCAGCUUGUUGGUGGGGUGAUGGCCUACCAAGGCGACGACGGGUAGCCGGCCU